AGCAGCUCUCUAUAAUUCAAUGGGUAUCUAAAAUUUUGUUAUCUGCUGGAUAAUAUAUAGUACUACUAUUUUACUAUACUUCUAAAGUCGAAAGAGUUUUGGCAAAAAAAAAAAAAACACAUUCUUCCCCUUUUUCACGCAAAAAAAAAGGUGUCAGACAUUGCUGCCACCACCAUUCUUCCCCUUUUUCACGUGAAGGCUAAUACUGCCACCACCAUCGCCUAAGACCGGCGAGUCUCGUCGCCCUCAGCGGGUAGCUGGCUGAAGCCGCCGCCUGAAGCCUCUUGGAGCCGCCGCCAUUGCUGCUGCCUGAAGCCGGCUUCGGCUGGUCCGUGAGUUUUCUUUUAUGUUCAAUUUUUUCUGCCAAUACCUACUAUAUUUUGGAUUUUAUAUGUUACCCACACAAAGUUAUUUCAGAUUUGUUUGAAUUUAUCGCUGAGAUGCAACCAGAUCUGAGGAAGAACAAAAUAGAGGUAAUAUUGAAUAGAAAUCGAAGGGGAAGAGAAGAAAUGGAUUCCCGUUUUCUCCCUUUGUUUCUUCAUUAUUGGCAUGGUUUUCACCAGCAAUACGUGUUUGUAACGAGAAUUAUUGAAUUUUUCACUAAAACUUUGGGGGAUUUAGGAGUAAUUUAUACCGUUUGUUUUGAUUUUUUUUAUCUUGCUUUGAAUUUGCAGAUUUUGUGGUUCGUUGGAAUCCACCACCAUCGCCUAAGACCGGUGAGUCUCGCCGCCCUCAGCGGGUAGCUGGCUGAAGCCGCCGCCUGAAGCCUCUUGGAGCCGCCGCCAUUGCUGCUGCCUGAAGCCGGCUUCGGCUGCUAUCUGCGUCGAAUGAGGCUCUUUCUAGAAGUGUGAAAUCGGUGUUCAAAGCUUGGGAGCAGCGGCUUAACUCUUCAGAGAAUGACAACCAAUUUUUCCUUUAUGCUAUUUUGCUAUAAGGGUGCUGACAACCAAUAGUUCUUUGUAAGCAGAAGAGCCUCGAGCAAGAGCUCCAGAGCAUGAAUUGCAUGCUGGAGGUAACGGAGAGAAGGCCCCUUUUUGUUACUUUUUCUCAUAUACUUUCUUUUAGUUUUUGCAGAAUCUGUGAAUGAUCUUUAGAGAAGAACUGGAGAGAUCUCCUAAUCUGUUCCAAGACAAAAGUUUUAAUUUUUGUCUUUUUUAAAUGUUAUUUGCUCUUAUUUCGUGUAUAUGUCUGUUUGAUCUAAUAUAUGUAUUUCAUAUUAUGCAACUGUUAAUUUGUCGACAUAGCUUGAAUAUGAUGGAUGUGGUGUCACAUUUUAUUAGUUUGUACAAAGCUUACGUUUCACAAUUCUUUCAGGUGAGGAUAUUUCCAUUC